rnacentral:tRNA from 1 species
GGGGCUAUAGCUCUGUGGUAGAGCACUUGUCUAGCGUUCACGAAGCCCAGGGUUUGAUCCCCAGCAACCCCU